rnacentral:rRNA from 1 species
CCUACGGGAGGCAGCAGUGAGGAAUAUUGGUCAAUGGACGAGAGGCUGAACCAGCCAAGUAGCGUGAAGGAAGAAUGCCCUAUGGAUUGUAAACUUCUUUUAUCUGGGAGUAAAGUGUUCCACGUGUGGGUUUUUGUGUGUACCAGAUGAAUAAGGAUCGGCUAACUCCGUGCCAGCAGCCGCGGUAAUACGGAGGAUCCGAGCGUUAUCCGGAUUUAUUGGGUUUAAAGGGAGCGUAGGUGGAUUUUUAAGUCAGUUGUGAAAGUUUGGGGCUCAACCGUCAAACUGCAGUUGAAACUGGGAGUCUUGAGUACAGUAGAGGUGGGCGGAAUGCGUGGUGUAGCGGUGAAAUGCUUAGAUAUCACGCAGAACUCCGAUUGCGAAGGCAGCUCACCGGACUGCGACUGACGCUGAGGCUCGAAAGUGUGGGUAUCAAACAGGAUUAGAUACCCGGGUAGUC